CGCGACUGCUACACCAGGCACUCCUGGGCCCGGGCAGCAGACCAGUCAGCCCUGUGGCUCCUCGGCGACCUCCAGCGGGCGCCCGGGGCCGGGAUGCAGGGCGCGCGGACAGAAACGAGACAGACAGCUCAGGCCCAGCAGCACGCAAGCUCCCGCGCCUUCCGCGACUGCCACACGCGCGGCGCGCGCGCACCCUACUUUUUCUCCGCCACCUGGGCCGUGAUUGGGCGCGACCUGGGCUCCUGGGUGCUCAUUGGCGCCGUGAAGUGCUCGUCACCGCCCCCUCCUGCCCCUUCAUGCAUGCGCGGAGGCCGCCUGCUAGCAAGGUUCCCACGUAACAUCACAUCAGACCCAAGGGCCCGUUCAUUGCAAGGCGAAGGAGGCAUGACAAUGGCACGUGACCAUGGGAUCACUGGUCCUGUCACAUUCUGCACCACCCAGAAGAUACUGGCUUGAACGAAGAGAAGAAAUGGGCUGUUGAAGGCGUAGCUGAGAUGCCAGCUCAGAGACGAUGAUACCAAGUGCUGAACCUGAGAGCAGCCCCAGUACACUCCCUGCAUGGGAAUCUCCAUCUCAAAGUCAGCCUCCAGGGAGCCCGCCCUGAAACAGAUUCUGUCAUGGAACUCAACAGAGUAUCCUGGUGCGGAUAACCAGUGUUGGGAGUUAGAGCACGGACUCUCUCCACCUGCACGGUGCUGGAGCUCUGCACACCCCCUCUGCAGCCAUCCCUCGCCGCUGUCCCUUAGCUGACGCCCUUGCCCUCUGUGUGUCCUUCCUCAUGGCCUGCAGGUUUCAGAUCCCAAGCUACAGAUCAUGUCUUCUAGUCUGGGCUCUGGCAGAGAGUUCGGAAGCACUCUUAUUAUCUUAGCAGCAGCAUGUGUGGAAAUCAUUUCUCAUUACAGCGGAGGGCAGGCAUUGUGCAGAGGGUUAAGUGGGCCUGCUUGAAGUUGGUUGUUGUUAGCUCUCAUGUCUAUGCCUUGGUCCCUUUCCCCUCAGGACUUGGAGAGCAAGCUGUUUGAGUCUGAUGCAACCCCUGGGCUUUGACUAUCAUGCCAAAAGGCAGCAAAUAAGUGCCUUUUCUUCCCUUCAGAAUACAUGGACAAUCCAAAGCUCUAUUAGUCUAUUAUUCAGAAUGAAAAGUGUUUACAAUAUUCGUCCUCUUACUCCUCAGUAUGUGAGACUGUUCCUCGUAGCAGGUAAUUUCUUCCGAAUUCAAAAACUCCUCAUGGAAGCAUCUGUUUUUGUCAUCAAGGAGGGGGCUGUAUGUGGAAUUGCAAGGCCAAAGACAUCUCGGGUCAACUCUUCUCAGGACCAGAUCCAAGUCGCCAGUGAGAACACACAUUCAGGCAGCCUCCACCAGCGCCCUGCCUCAGGAGCGAGGCUCCCUGCUUCAUGUGGGCAAGAGCUGCCCUUGUUUUCCCAGCGGGCAGUUGGGGGUCUGGAGCCUAGGAAGCAAAGUGAAGCACACACUCCUGCUUCCUUCCUUCCCUGCAGUUGAGACGGGAGUCUUACUUUGUUGCCCAGGCUGGUCUCAAACUCCUGGCUUCAAGCAAUCCUUCCACUUUGGCCUUCCAAAGUGCUGGGAUUACAGGCAUGAGCCACCAUGCCCAGCCUCCUUCUCUUACUAGCUGAGAACUAAGAGAAGACACUCUGGAGACAGAGGAGGAAACAGUGACGAUGCCACAUGAUGAAUACAUAAUGGAGGGUGAAGACAAGGCUCCGUCAGGGGCACCAAGGAGGGAAACCCAGUUCUGUGGGGAAGGUAUGGGGCAGCUUCACAAGCCCAGUGUCUGCUCCCUUUGUGGGAGACGUGUUGUUUCAGCAUCCAUUCCCCCUUCUUUUAGGAAAAGUGCUUGAAUUUCCUUUUCAUGGAACCACCCACCUCCCUCUCAUCCAUGCAUUCUAUUCCCAGUAUCAGGGGUAGACAAGUGACUUCAGGCUUGGCCAAUUAGGGUUCUGACUCUUGGUCAAAUCAGAGUGAAUCCUGAGUCAUUUGUAAACUCCAAGGAAAGGGCUUGCUUUGUUUUCUGUUGAAUGCAGUGCUCUGAGAUAGCCGGAAAUGAAACUGCUCUCUUGCCACACUGAAGGCUAGAGAAGGGCCUGGCCAGGAAAUGAUGCCAGUGAUCAGGGGUGGAGCUGGAAGAGGGGGAGUGAGGAGGCCCAGACAUCUUGGGAGCCCCAAAUUCACCUCAGGAUUUAACUUCUCCGCUGCUCAGCCAAUAAAUUCCUUUCUUCCAUGACUAAUUUGAGUUGAGUUUUUAGUUUUUGCAACUAAAACAGCACUGACUAAUACACCCUUAGGUAAGAUUAGAGCAAGAAUUUCCAAUAUCUGUGUUCUUCAUCCUGAAAUUUGGUGAGGAUAUCUAAGGUUCUUUUGUCUUUUAAAAGAAUUCUGUUGCAAUGGAAAGUAUCAAUCCAUAUUUUUCCAUUUCUCCAAAAUGUUUUAGUGUAUAUCUAUGGGGCACAAACUUAAUCUCUGUAGGCCCUCUGCCAUAGUUGCUCUGUGCCACUUGAUAAGGGGCUGGUAUCUAGAAUAUAUAAAAACUCUUAAAACUCAGCCGGGCAUGGUGGCUCAUGCCUAUAAUCCCAGCUCUUUGGGAGGCCGAGGCAGGCGGAUCACCUGAGGUCAGGAGUUUGAGACCAGCCUGGCCAACACGGUGAAACUCUAUCUCUCUAAAAAUACAAAAAUUAGGCGGGCGUAGUGGCUCACUCAAGACUGAGGCAGAAGAACCACUUGAACCCAGGAGUUGGAGGUUUCAGUGAGCCCAGAUGGCUCCACGGCACUCCAUCCUGUGCAACAGAGUGGCACAGGAUGGCAAAAACAAACAAAAGCUCUUAAAACUCAACAAUAAAAGACAACCCACUUUAGAAAUGAGAAAAGGGCCAAGUGUGGUGGUAAUCCCAGCACUUUGGGAAGUUGAGGUGUGUAGAUUGCUUGAGCCCAGGAGUUUGAGAGCAGCCUGGGCAACAUGGC
ensembl:lncRNA STARD7-AS1 STARD7 antisense RNA 1